AAUACAUUCAGGAACGUGUGUCAAUGGCAAAAUAUUGCUGCAGUUGGUUACUUAUAUUUCAAUGCAUUUUUUUCUGCUUGUUUUUCUACCAGAGUUCGGAAGCACAGAAGGUGGUCAACAUAAACUGUAUGCUAUGAAGAUGGCCUCAGUGGAACCCCUAAAACGACACAAUUCCCAGAGUAUUGCUUACAGGACUUUGACUUGGGAAAUAAGAACAGCCUCAGCCAGACACAAACAGCUACAAAGACAAGAACAUGGUUGAGUCAUAUCCAUGGCAAUGCUCCAGUGAAGAGGACAAACUCCAGUGUUGUGAUUCAACAAGUCAUUGUGCAGGUAUUACAGAUGAAAAACAAAGAAACAAACCAGAGACCAAGCUCUUAAAGGACUUACAGCAUUGUAGCCGAGAUCAACUUAGGACACUAUGGACUAAAAACAUCAGAAAACCUGACAGGCCUAAACACUAAGACCUGUUAUUGGGUGAUGUAACUAGAAUCCUAAAAGUAGGGCAGGCAUCAUAGUUGGCUUAAUCCAAUGAAACUAAUUGGUUUCAAAGAACCUUGGCUUCAAGUCCCAGCUCCUCCACUUACUAGUAACAGGACUUGGUCAAGUUCUUCAACUCCUCUUAAUCUCAAGUUCAGUGUCUGUAAAAUAGUAGCAAUGGUAGUUCCUACCUCAUAGUGUUGCUAUAAGGAUUAAAUAGGACAAUGAUAAUAAAACACUUGGCCCAAUGCUUAGCA
rnacentral:lncRNA from 1 species